rnacentral:lncRNA from 1 species
CUUUUUUUUUGGUGGUGAUCAGAUUUUCCUGGAUUGAAGAAAAAAAGUAUUUUUUGUGGAUUUUACAUUAUGUGGGUUUGCCUAAGAAACAUUAAAGGCUAUAGAAAAUUUGUACUUGUUUGAACAUUUAAAUUCGUGGUUUAUCUUUUUUCCAUGUAAUCAAUGAAAAUUGAUUUGCCAUGAAUAGUAUUAAAUCCACAAAGUUAUUAUCUUUUAGUCACAAGCGUACACAACAUUUUUUUUGUCAGAAACAUGAGGUGCAUGUGCACAGAAAGUGCAUGUUUUGUUUCUAAUUUUUCUUUGGUGGUAGGAAUAGAAUAGACACUGCAUAUAUAAUAUUAAAUGGAUAUGAAUGUGAAUUUGGUGUAUUUAAAAAUGCUGGGCUAUCAAGCAAAUUGAUGUAGAAAAAAGUGCUUCAACAUCUAAUAUUUGGACUAAAAAAAAUAGUAUAGAUAUAUUGUCCGUGACCUCAUUUCCUUGUUCCAGUGAUCAUGUUAAGUGCAUUUUACAAAUUGACAAUAUUUUGUUUAACUGUUUGUUUGUUGUAAAGUGUAUAUGGUCAUCAGAUAUAUGACUUUGAACUCAUCUUCAAGGUUUCACAAAAGGUUAUUUUAUUGCAGCCAAAAUCAAAACCUUACCAUUUCAGUAUGUCAUCAUACAUAGAUGCCAACC